CCUUACCUACUCUUGACAUCCAGAGAAUUCGCUAGAGAUAGCUUAGUGCCUUCGGGAACUCUGAGACAGGUGCUGCAUGGCGGUCGUCAGCUCGUGUUGUGAAAUGUUGGGUUAAGUCCCGCAACGAGCGCAACCCUUAUCCUUAUUUGCCAGCACGUAAUGGUGGGAACUCUAGGGAGACUGCCGGUGAUAAACCGGAGGAAGGUGGGGACGACGUCAAGUCAUCAUGGCCCUUACGAGUAGGGCUACACACGUGCUACAAUGGUCGGUACAGAGGGUUGCAAAGCCGCGAGGUGGAGCUAAUCUCACAAAGCCGAUCGUAGUCCGGAUUGGAGUCUGCAACUCGACUCCAUGAAGUCG
rnacentral:rRNA from 1 species